rnacentral:misc_RNA from 1 species
AAUUGCCGCCGGUACCGUUUUUGUCGUUGCCUCGUCGUUCAAUAAUCCGCUGUACCACCGGCUUCCCGAUGAGGAAGAGAUUAAGAAUUUGGGAUCCGGUGGCGGCAGUGGCGGUGGCGAAGUUCAUUCCCCACACGUCUCUGGCGGUGGAGAUAGUAGCGGGCACGGGCAGGGGCAGAGUCAAGGGCACGGGCAGCUGGUGGAAUCGUGUGGAAUGGCUAUGUAUAGUUGCCACGCUCCGUCCGACGUAAUAUGGGCGCCGACGGCGAGACAACCGCCGCCGCCGCCGUACUAAUCCAUAACUUUCUAU